UCCCGGCACCUGGCCGGCGCUGCGGGGGCGGCUCGAUCCCGCCGCGGUGGCGUUCGCCGAUGCGGUCGGGUUCGAGCCGAAGCCGGGGC
rnacentral:tRNA from 1 species